rnacentral:piRNA from 1 species
UGGAGAUACCAAGAUUCCUCUGC